CAUUUCACAUAUUGUAUAUGGUUCCAAGAGGUACCUGGAAAGUAGAAAAAGUAAGAAGAUUGAGGAAAUCAGCAACAAGAAACAACAAUCAACCCCAAUUCAACCAACCAAGCGAUGAAAUCCGCUUAAAACCCCAAUGGAACAGUAACCCUCAAUAAAGCUUGAACCCAAAUGUUUAAAAACACAAUAUCAAUCCAUUUCAAAUCCCAGAAUGAGAAGCUAUUGUUUUUCAUAAAUUGAAAAGAAUCAUAAAUCACUGAAGAAGUUCAAUGAAACAGUAAAAAUUCAGCCGUUUGUACUUUCUCUUGAUUUUU
rnacentral:lncRNA from 1 species